rnacentral:rRNA from 1 species
UACGUAGGCAGCAAGCGUUGUUCGGAAUUACUGGGCGUCAAGCGUGCGCAGGCGGUUUUGUAAGUCUGUCGUGAAAUCCCCGGGCUUAACCUGGGAAUGGCGAUGGAGACUGCAAGGCUAGAGUUUGGCAGAGGGGGGUAGAAUUCCACGUGUAGCAGUGAAAUGCGUAGAGAUGUGGAGGAACACCGAUGGCGAAGGCAGCCCCCUGGGUCAAAACUGACGCUCAUGCACGAAAGCGUGGGGAGCAAACAGG